rnacentral:lncRNA from 1 species
GAGGUCCAAGUUAUCACCUGAUGAAAAAGGAUGUCGAUUGGGCUCCUAACAAGAAUCUUGAGCCACAAUCGAAAGGAGAGGCAGUGGCUCAGCGAGCCAAACGCUUCAUUAAAAUCUCUAACCAGCCAAAGCCUGAAAAAAGUUAGAGAGAAACAAAUUUGUCAAAUACACCAGCUACCAGCUUAGCUGUGCCAGUUGACACACGCUUGGAAGUUUUGGCAGAUGAUGCACAAGUUGUGGAGACACCAGCCCACUCAGAAGGAACUGAUGGUCAAGAAGUUGACCUCAGUGAAGCAUGCAACGUUUCAAUGCUGAAGCAAGAAGUCGCAUCCCUUUCAGCUCGUGUAGCUUUGCUGGAAUCACAGAAGCGUGACCUCGAAUUGGCCAAUCAAGAUUUAUCUGAACGAUUGGCUGACUUGGAACGAACCUCGGAAUAAAAAUAAUGUAGAGAAUAAGGAUAUAGCAGACCAUACUUUGCCCAAAACGAUUCCCUUGCCAUCCUUCAGUUUAUGCAAGGCCUUGUACACAACAUAUCCAUCUUGAAACUUCUUGUAGCUUAGCAUACUCUUCAAAUUCUCAGUUCUGUUGCCAUCAUGUCGACUUUUUGUUACAUAAAGGUAAUCAAUUAGGUCGUAUUUGGCUAUGUUGGGUAAACUUCUCUGUAGUUGGCGAAGAUCUUGAUCACCAACAAUAAAGUAUUUCUCGUCAA